UACGGAGGAUCCGAGCGUUAUCCGGAUUUAUUGGGUUUAAAGGGAGCGUAGGCGGGUUGUUAAGUCAGUUGUGAAAGUUUGCGGCUCAACCGUAAAAUUGCAGUUGAUACUGGCAUCCUUGAGUACAGUAGAGGUAGGCGGAAUUCGUGGUGUAGCGGUGAAAUGCUUAGAUAUCACGCAGAACCCCGAUUGCGAAGGCAGCCUUCCGGCGCCCUACUGACGCUGAGGCACGAAAGUGCGGGGAUCGAACAGG
rnacentral:rRNA from 1 species